AUUGAACGCUGGCGGCAGGCCUAACACAUGCAAGUCGAGCGAGCGGCGGACGGGUGAGUAAUGUAUGGGGACUGCCCGAUAGAGGGGGAUAACUACUGGAAAUGGCGGCUAAUACCGCAUACUGUCGGAUCACCCAAAUGGGAUUAGCUAGUAGGUAAGGUAAUUGCCUACCUAGGCGACGAUCCCUAGCUGGUCUGAGAGGAUGAUCAGCCACACUGGGACUGAGACACGGCCCAGACUCCUAAGGAGGCAGCAGUGGGGAAUAUUGCACAAGGGGCGAAAGCCUGAUGCAGCCCUGCCGCGUGUAUGAAGAAGGCCCUAGGGUUGUAAAGUACUUUCAGGCGGGAGGCGUUACCGACAGAAGAAGCACCGGCUAACUCCGUGCCAGCCGCCGCGGUAAUAC
rnacentral:rRNA from 1 species